GCUUCACAGUCGGGAACUCUAGAUCCAAUACCAGGAAUUGGUAAACUUUAUGUCAAGAAGACAAAUUUGUUUGCGGUGACGAUGUGCUUGAAUAACAAACAUCAGAACACAUCACCAUGAUCACUGUGUAAAAGACAACAUUUUGUCAUUUAAAUGUUAUUUCACCGAUGAAAGGAUUUUAAGUAAAAGCUCAGCCUCAAAUGCGACCUAACUGAUUUAAAAAAAAAUGAAAAUGCAGAGGCAUUUUAUUUGUAAGUAGAGCAUAUCGUGAUGGUGACAAAAAAAAAGGACACUACAUGAAAGGUAAGUGCACUUAAUAUUUAGAAGCAUUAAAAAAUAAACACAAAUAAGAAAGAGAAUUUAAGGGAACUAAAGGUGAGAACGACUCACAUCAGUCGACACAAUAGCAUCUCUCCAAUAAAAUGUUCAGUUGUUAUAAUUAUUCUGCCCAGUAUCUGUCUCUUCUCUUGAAAAGAUAUAUGCGCAUCGGAGAAUAAGCUGUAAGGAUCGACAAUUGUAAUGAUGUCAUAAUACGAAUGAAUAGCUUAACGAAUUAGUGUUUCGAAUUGAAAAAUGUUUGUUCACAAAUCGUAGUAAUUAUUUUACGGGAUACUUAUUCGAUUAUAAAGAGGCAGUCGUAUAAAACUCUAAGGUGAACAUGGUGAAUUUGAGAAGGAGUAGGUUAAUAAAACAUAAAAAAAUAAAACGCCCGAUUUGUCAAACAAUAGAACGAAUGGCAAACAAAUGUCAUGAACGACUUUAUGCAAGCAUAUCGAGAAGAAAAUGAGUGGUUAACGCUAGUAAAAAAAUUAUGAUCUUAACCUCUUAUUUGUAUGACAGUUUUUAAUAGUUAAGUCAUAUUGAAAAUAUUGGGCGAGAAACCCCGAAACGUGACAAUUAUUGGGCAUCCAAAGUUAUUUAAACAUACAUCACUGAAUGCAAACACAACUGAUUCAAAGAUUCAGACACACAUCUAAACAAUCUGACAAAGAUGACAAUAGAAACAGAUCGUAAUUGAUAGUACAUAGUUUAUAGUAAAACAUAAUGUAUACACACUUUCUUAAUAAAGUACAUAUUAAUUAAAACGUGAAUAAGUAAUCAAAAUGAAGGUAACACUAAUUACAUCUCAUUUUUCCGAGUCACUUCAACAUGUUUAAGCAUGACAAGAAUUUAACAACUAAAAAGUACACAAUAAUACAAGGACAAAUAAACUAAAAACUGAAAAAGAAAAAAUAUACCCCAUGUCAGCACGUAAGACCUAUACCUCAAGAUUAUAAGUAGACACUGAAUAUUUAUCUUUGAGGUUCUUUGAACUUUCAGAUGAACUUCAACAAAAAGAAGAGACGCUCUUUGACAAAUCCUAGUCAUCCAUGAUGGUUUAUAAAAGUUAAAGUAGCAAUUGCAAGCUCUUGAAUUUCUCAUGAGCUGAGAAAUGUAUACUAUAUAUGCGGUUCGUGUUGAAUUAUUACUGCUUAGAAGAGUUAAAGUAAUAAUUUCAAGAUUAACAUGUUAUAAGAGUUGUCAUAUCCCGCGCUUUUUCUGUUGUCUUCAUUCUCCAUUAUCUUUUUGUUUGUAAAAGACAAGUUUUUUCUUUCUUGUCGAGAUCUUGUAUGAUUGAACAACAUUAUAAUAUUUUUUUCCUUGAAACUUAAUGGCUUUAUAAUUCGUUGACCAUUCAGUUAUAACAAACAAAAAACACCAGAUACUAGCAGAACACGAACAGCAUUAGUUGAAUAGACACAAAUACGAAUAAACUUCAUAAUGAAGAUGUUUGCAAAACUUAAUCUAGAGGAAAAGAUAACACAAAAGGAUAUAUAGAUGGUCAGAUUGUGAAACAUGUCUUCGGUGAACGAUUGACAAGUGCCAGCAUAUUUUUGUAGAUUUUAUGGGGGC
rnacentral:lncRNA from 1 species